CUCCUGGUUCUCCUGGUUCUCGAAAAGAUGAGAUCACCAUGGGGCCAGAUAAAGUGUUUCAGAUCAUAUGUGGUGACCACCAGAACAACCUGUGGUUUUACUUCAUCGAUCACUACUGGACUGGAUAGUAAAGACUGUCGUUGAAGAGGAGCCAACAACUGACCAGAUGGACGUUGAGUGUCAGCGCUGGACCAACAACCAAUCCGAUGAGUGCCACUGUACUGACAACCAAUCGGAAGAGUGUGACUGGACGGACAACCAAUCGGAUGAAGUGGAGAGUUGCACUGAGGAGUUGGAGGAGUUCUUAUGCGAAAUCCAUGUAAAAAUGUUCAUACAGUAGCUCUCAAUGGAGCUGUAUGGGUUGAUGUACAGUAGCUCUCAAUGGAGCUGUAUGGGUUGAUGUACAGUAGCUCUCAAUGGAGCUGUAUGGGUUGUACCAGAUCUUCAACCAAAACCUGAUAUUAGAUAAAGAACCUGAUAUUAGAUAAAGGACCUGAUAUUAAAGAACCUGAUAUUAGAUAAAGAACCUGAUAUUAGAUAAAGAACCUGAUAUUAGAUAAAGGACUGAUAUUAGAUAAAGAACCUGAUAUUAGAUAAAGACCCUGAUAUUAGAUAAAGAACCUGAUAUUAGAUAAAUAACCUGAUAUUAGAUAAAGAACCUGAUAUUAGAUAAAGAACCUGAUAUUAGAUAAAGGACCUGAUAUUAGAUAAAGAACCUGAUAUUAGAUAAAGGACCUGAUAUUAGAUAAAGGACCUGAUAUUAGAUAAAGAACCUGAUAUUAGAUAAAGAACCUGAUAUUAGAUAAAGGGAACCUGAUAUUAGAUAAAGAACCUGAUAUUAGAUAAAGAACCUGAUAUUAGAUAAAGGGAACCUGAUAUUAGAUAAAGAACCUGAUAUUAGAUAAAGAACCUGAUAUUAGAUAAAGAACCUGAUAUUAGAUAAAGAACCUGAUAUUAGAUAAAGAACCUGAUAUUAGAUAAAGGGAACCUGAUAUUAGAUAAAGAACCUGAUAUUAGAUAAAGAACCUGAUAUUAGAUAAAGGACUGAUAUUAGAUAAAGAACCUGAUAUUAGAUAAAGAACCUGAUAUUAGAUAAAGAACCUGAUAUUAGAUAAAGAACCUGAUAUUAGAUAAAGAACCUGAUAUUAGAUAAAGAACCUGAUAUUAGAUAAAGGACCUGAUAUUAGAUAAAGAACCUGAUAUUAGAUAAAUAACCUGAUAUUAGAUAAAGAACCUGAUAUU
rnacentral:lncRNA from 8 species